UUACAGCAACUCAAGGAGAAGGAAAGCGGGGCCUUAAGCUAAAUUGUAAAUCUAAGGGAAAAUAUUUUGAUUUUGAUUCCUUUGUUGGAGGAGGCUUUAGAAGAGUGUCCAGAAGAGGAAAAGAGACAGAAACACAAAGGAAGAAAGGCUAUUCCUCACAACCAAAACACCCACCUGGAGCAGGAAAGCAAAGGGUACGAGAUA